rnacentral:rRNA from 1 species
AAUGCCUCUCCGCCGAAAGCUCCGGCGCCUGAGGAUGAGCCUGCGUCCGAUUAGGUUGUUGGCGGUGUAACGGACCACCAAGCCUUAGAUCGGUACGGGCACUGAGAGGUGGAGCCCGGAGAUGGGGGCUGAGACACGGCCCCAGGCCCUACGGGGCGCAGCAGGCGCGAAAACUCCGCAAUACGCGCAAGCGUGACGGGGGAACCCCAAGUGCCUCAUCUUUUUGGUGAGGCUUUUUCAGAGUGUAAACAGCUCUGAGAAUAAAAGCGGGGUAAGACCGGUGCCAGCCGCCGCGGUAACACCGGCCGCUCAAGUGGUGACCGCUAUUAUUGGGCCUAAAGCGUCCGUAGCCGGUUCGGUAAGUCCCUGGGUAAAUCCUGCCGUUUAACGGUAGGAAUUCUGGGGAUACUGCCGGACUCGGGGUCGAGAGAAGUCGGAGGUACUCCGGGGGUAGCGGUGAAAUGCUGUAAUCCUCGGGGGACCACCAGUGGCGAAGGCGUCCGACUAGAGCGGGCCCGACGGUGAGGGACGAAAGCCAGGGGAGCGAACGGGAUUAGA